CACUUGCCUGUGUUGAUUGUAGAGACAGCGGGGAGAAGCACGGACCUGCUGCUCUGCUGGUUGACGGUCACUGGUUGA